rnacentral:rRNA from 1 species
UGGGGAAUAUUGGGCAAUGGGCGAAAGCCUGACCCAGCAACGCCGCGUGAAGGAAGAAGGUCUUCGGAUUGUAAACUUCUUUUAUGAGGGACGAAGGACGUGACGGUACCUCAUGAAUAAGCCACGGCUAACUACGUGCCAGCAGCCGCGGUAAUACGUAGGUGGCAAGCGUUAUCCGGAUUUACUGGGUGUAAAGGGCGCGUAGGCGGGGAUGCAAGUCAGAUGUGAAAUCUAUGGGCUUAACUCAUAAACUGCAUUUGAAACUGUAUCUCUUGAGUGCUGGAGGGGUAGACGGAAUUCCUUGUGUAGCGGUGAAAUGCGUAGAUAUAAGGAAGAACACCAGUGGCGAAGGCGGUCUACUGGACAGUAACUGACGCUGAGGCGCGAAAGCGUGGGGAGCAAACAGGAUUAGAUACC